UCCGGUCCUCGGUAGUGGCCUCCGGAACCUGUGAGGGCGUCCGUGGGCCUCGAUCGAAGGCCGUC
rfam:Georgenia sp. STBG003 Ion020_assembly_c120, whole genome shotgun sequence.